UACGUAGGGGGCAAGCGUUGUCCGGAAUCAUUGGGCGUAAAGCGCACGUAGGCGGCCCUGUAAGUCCGUUGUGAAAGUCAAAGGCUCAACCUUUGAAUGCCGAUGGAUACUGCGGGGCUAGAGUGCGGAAGGGGCAACUGGAAUUCUCGGUGUAGCGGUGAAAUGCGUAGAUAUCGAGAGGAACACCUGCGGCGAAGGCGGGUUGCUGGGCCGACACUGACGCUGAUGCGCGAAAGCCAGGGGAGCGAACGGG
rnacentral:rRNA from 1 species